rnacentral:tRNA from 1 species
GGCGUGUUGACAGAGUGGCUUAUGUGACGGAUUGCAAAUCCGUAUACUUCGGUUCGAUUCCGAAACACGCCU